UCUGUAGCAAGGUUAACCGAAUAGGGGAGCCGGAGGGAAACCGAGUCUUAACCGGGCGUUAAGUUGCAGGGUAUAGACCCGAAACCCGGUGAUCUAGCCAUGGGCAGGUUGAAGGUUGGGUAACACUAACUGGAGGACCGAACCGACUAAUGUUGAAAAAUUAGCGGAUGACCUGUGGCUGGGGGUGAAAGGCCAAUCAAACCGGGAGAUAGCUGGUUCUCCCCGAAAGCUAUUUAGGUAGCGCCUCGUGAAUUCAUCUCCGGGGGUAGAGCACUGUUUCGGCUAGGGGGCCAUCCCGGCUUACCAACCCGAUGCAAACUGCGAAUACCGGAGAAUGUUAUCACGGGAGACACACGGCGGGUGCUAACGUCCGUCGUGAAGAGGGAAACAACCCAGACCGCCAGCUAAGGUCCCAAAGUCAUGGUUAAGUGGGAAACGAUGUGGGAAGGCCCAGACAGCCAGGAUGUUGGCUUAGAAGCAGCCAUCAUUUAAAGAAAGCGUAAUAGCUCACUGGUCGAGUCGGCCUGCGCGGAAGAUGUAACGGGGCUAAACCAUGCACCGAAGCUGCGGCAGCGACGCUGAUGCGUUGUUGGGUAGGGGAGCGUUCUGUAAGCCUGCGAAGGUGUGUCGUGAGGCAUGCUGGAGGUAUCAGAAGUGCGAAUGCUGACAUAAGUAACGAUAAAGCGGGUGAAAAGCCCGCUCGCCGGAAGACCAAGGGUUCCUGUCCAACGUUAAUCGGGGCAGGGUGAGUCGACCCCUAAGGCGAGGCCGAAAGGCGUAGUCGAUGGGAAACGGGUUAAUAUUCCCGUACUUGGUGUUACUGCGAAGGGGGGACGGAGAAGGCUAUGUUGGCCGGGCGACGGUUGUCCCGGUUUAAGCGUGUAGGUGUGUGUUCCAGGUAAAUCCGGUUCACUUUAACACUGAGGCGUGAUGACGAGGCACUACGGUGCUGAAGCAACAAAUGCCCUGCUUCCAGGAAAAGCCUCUAAGCAUCAGGUAACAUCAAAUCGUACCCCAAACCGACACAGGUGGUCAGGUAGAGAAUACCAAGGCGCUUGAGAGAACUCGGGUGAAGGAACUAGGCAAAAUGGUGCCGUAACUUCGGGAGAAGGCACGCUGACACGUAGGUGAAGUGAUUUACUCAUGGAGCUGAAGUCAGUCGAAGAUACCAGCUGGCUGCAACUGUUUAUUAAAAACACAGCACUGUGCAAACACGAAAGUGGACGUAUACGGUGUGACGCCUGCCCGGUGCCGGAAGGUUAAUUGAUGGGGUCAGCGCAAGCGAAGCUCCUGAUCGAAGCCCCGGUAAACGGCGGCCGUAACUAUAACGGUCCUAAGGUAGCGAAAUUCCUUGUCGGGUAAGUUCCGACCUGCACGAAUGGCGUAAUGAUGGCCAGGCUGUCUCCACCCGAGACUCAGUGAAAUUGAACUCGCUGUGAAGAUGCAGUGUACCCGCGGCAAGACGGAAAGACCCCGUGAACCUUUACUAUAGCUUGACACUGAACAUUGAGCCUUGAUGUGUAGGAUAGGUGGGAGGCUUUGAAGUGUGGACGCCAGUCUGCAUGGAGCCGGCCUUGAAAUACCACCCUUUAAUGUUUGAUGUUCUAACGUGGACCCGUGAUCCGGGUUGCGGACAGUGUCUGGUGGGUAGUUUGACUGGGGCGGUCUCCUCCUAAAGAGUAACGGAGGAGCACGAAGGUUGGCUAAUCCUGGUCGGACAUCAGGAGGUUAGUGCAAUGGCAUAAGCCAGCUUGACUGCGAGCGUGACGGCGCGAGCAGGUGCGAAAGCAGGUCAUAGUGAUCCGGUGGUUCUGAAUGGAAGGGCCAUCGCUCAACGGAUAAAAGGUACUCCGGGGAUAACAGGCUGAUACCGCCCAAGAGUUCAUAUCGACGGCGGUGUUUGGCACCUCGAUGUCGGCUCAUCACAUCCUGGGGCUGAAGUAGGUCCCAAGGGUAUGGCUGUUCGCCAUUUAAAGUGGUACGCGAGCUGGGUUUAGAACGUCGUGAGACAGUUCGGUCCCUAUCUGCCGUGGGCGCUGGAGAACUGAGGGGGGCUGCUCCUAGUACGAGAGGACCGGAGUGGACGCAUCACUGGUGUUCGGGUUGUCAUGCCAAUGGCACUGCCCGGUAGCUAAAUGCGGAAGAGAUAAGUGCUGAAAGCAUCUAAGCACGAAACUUGCCCCGAGAUGAGUUCUCCCUGAGACUUAGAGUCUCCUGAAGGAACGUUGAAGACGACGACGUUGAUAGGCCGGGUGUGUAAGCGCAGCGAUGCGUUGAGCUAACCGGUACUAAUGAACCGUGAGGCUUAACCUUACAACGCCGAAG
rnacentral:rRNA from 1 species